UUUCGGACGGUCUUGGAAUUAGUCAUAAACUACCAGCAACUCUGCAUCUACUGGACAAAGUAUUAUGACUUUAAAAACCCCAUUAUUGAAAAGUACCUGAGAAGGCAGCUCACGAAACCCAGGCCUGUGAUCCUGGACCCGGCGGACCCUACAGGAAACUUGGGUGGUGGAGACCCAAAGGGUUGGAGGCAGCUGGCACAAGAGGCUGAGGCCUGGCUGAAUUACCCAUGCUUUAAGAAUUGGGAUGGGUCCCCAGUGAGCUCCUGGAUUCUGCUGAUGAGACAAAGGCUCAGAGAGGUGAGGUCACUUGCUCAAGGACAUCAGCUAACAAGUGGUGGAAAUGGAAUUCAAGCUCAGUGGACUCUAAAGCCAGUGCUCAUGUCACUGUGCUAAACAGCCUGCCUUGUCACAUCCCCACCUCUCAUCUGACCAAUGGGAGACUCUGAGCAGCUGAGUGACUUGGGUUGUCACACAGCUAAACAGGGGCAAAGGACCCAGUCUUGGAUCUUUCCACCUCCAAGCAGGAAUCUGUCUGAUUCCAGGGGAUUGAUGAUGUUGCAGAUGGCUAGGAAGCAGACUCCAGGAUGGAAUUUAGUAUGCAGGAUGUUCUGGGGGAGAGCCACUGGAACCAGCACUCAGGGAAAGGGGGGAAGAAAGGAUAGGAAGGAAGCAUGAAAGAGAAUAGGGAGAAGUGAACAGGGAUGCAGAGCGAAUGCCAGUUUCAGCCAACUCCAAGGACAGCCCUGGAGCUGGAAUGGCCUUUAGAGCUGCCCCAUGGUGACAGAGGUGGCCAGGCUUCUAUACCCCUACGUGGAUCACUCACUGUGCUUGGGCACCUUGGGAAAGGGCAUGGCUUUGAGCAAAAGGCUCUCUGCAGCUGAGGCAACCCC
rnacentral:lncRNA from 10 species